rnacentral:rRNA from 1 species
AUUGAACGCUGGCGGCAGGCCUAACACAUGCAAGUCGAACGAGUGGCGGACGGGUGAGUAAUAUCUGGGAAACUGCCCGAUGGAGGGGGAUCACUACUGGACACUGUAGCUAAUACCGCAUACCCUCGUAUGUGCCCAUAUGGGAUUAGCUAGUAGGUGGGGUAACGGCUCACCUAGGCGACGAUCCCUAGCUGGUCUGAGAGGAUGACCAGCCACACUGGAACUGAGACACGGCCCAGACUCCUACGGGAGGCAGCAGUGGGGAAUAUUGCACAAUGGGCGCAAGCCUGAUGCAGCCAUGCCGCGUGUAUGAAGAAGGCCUUCGGGUUGUAAAGUACUUUCAGCCGGGAGGCGUUACCCGCAGAAGAAGCACCGGCUAACUCCGUGCCAGCAGCCGCGGUAAUAC